GAUUAUUUACGAGUAGCGUGAGAAAACACUGCAAUUAGUUGGCUCUUCGGUCACCUACUCUAACAAUAACAUUCAAAGAGAUAUCUACUUGAAUUCCGAUUUCACUGAUUUAAGUUUUGUUUAAUAGAGAAAACAUCGACCCACCGUUAUGUGUUUGAUGAUGCUCGGCUGUCGAUUGCUCAACUGAAGAGUUGUUUUAGCCCAAGAGAGUAUAUAAUGUUGACAGUCAUUGCCGCAUGUGUGAGGUAGUCGAAGAGGAGAACACCGCUCGUUAACCUGCAAAAUAAAUCAUGAAAAAUUCUAGGUGACACGCAACGGGUGGCUCGACACUUAUCCUCCGACACUCACUCCGAAAUCGGUUGGAGAGUAUAAGCAAUCAAACCUUUAACUUUUGAAAAUAGAACUUUGAUUCAUAUGCAAAUGAACUCGAUUAUUUAUAGGUAAUGAAGUAGAAUAUUUCAAUUGUGACACUAACGUGAACAAGAAACAUAAGGUAUUUCCGAAAGACAACUAUCUUAUCCUAGA